rnacentral:rRNA from 1 species
UACGGGGGGAGCAAGCGUUGUUCGGAUUUACUGGGCGUAAAGGGCGCGUAGGCGGUCGUGACAAGUCACUUGUGAAAUCUCCGGGCUUAACUCGGAACGGUCAAGUGAUACUGUCGGACUAGAGUACAGAAGGGGCAACUGGAAUUCUCGGUGUAGCGGUGAAAUGCGUAGAUAUCAAGAGGAACACCUGAGGUGAAGACGGGUUGCUGGGCUGACACUGACGCUGAGGCGCGAAAGCCAGGGGAGCAAACGGGG